CCUUUUGAAAAGCUGAAUUCCCAGGUUAAAAACCUGGGAUACGGGGGACCCAACCUUUUUGGGGUGAAUCAGAAGCAAAAGCUUCUGUAGGGCUAACCCUUUCGGCCCGAACCCGUCAGCUAACCUCGGAAGCUUUGAAAGGGAGGCAAA
rnacentral:sRNA from 2 species